rnacentral:lncRNA from 1 species
CUUGCAUCUUCAAUGUAUAAUAUACAAAUAAAUGUAUAUGUACAUAUUGGCUAAGAAAUAGACUAGUUGAUCAGUGGAAUAGGUUAGGUUCACAGGACAAAAUAAUCAAUAACUAUAGCAAUCUAGUGUUUGACUAACCCAAAGAUCCCAACUUUGGGGAUUAGAAUUCACUAUUUGACAAAAACUGCUGGGAAAACUGGAAAUUAGUAUGGCAGAAACUAGGCAUGGGCCCACAUUUAACACCGUAUAUCAAGAUAAGAUCAAAAUGAGUUCAUGAUUUAGGCAUAAAGAAUGAGAUUAUAAAUAAAUUAGAAGAACAUAGGAUAGUUUAUCUCUCAGACUUGUGGAAGAGGAAGGAAUUUGUCACCAAAGAAGAACUAGAGAUCAUAUUUGAUCACAAAAUCGAAAAUUUUAAUUAUAUCAAGUUAAAUAGCUUUUGUAUAAACAAAACUAAUACAGACAAGAUUAGAAGGGAAGCAACAAAUUGGGAAAACAUUUUUGCAGUUAAAGAUUCUGAUAAAGGCCUCAUUUCCCAAACAUAUAGAGAAUUGACUCUAAUUAAUAAGAAAUCAAGCCAUUCUCCAAUUGAUAAAUGGUCAAAGCAUAUGAACAAUUUUCAGAUGAUGAAAUUGAAACUAUUUCUACUCAUAUGAAAGGGUUUUCCAAAUCACUAUUGAUCAAAGAAAUGCAAAUUAAGACAACUCUGAGAUACCACACCUGUCAGAUUGGCUAAGAUGACAGGAAAAGAUAAUGAUGAAUGUUGGAAGGUAUGCUGGAAAACUGGGACACUGAUGCAUUGUUGGUGGAGUUGUGAAUGGAUCCAAUUCUGGAAAACAAUUUGGAACUAUGCUCAAAAAGUUAUCAAACUGUGCAUACCCUUUGAUCCAGCAGUGUUGCCGCGGGCUUAUAUCCCAAAGAGAUCUUAAAGAAGGGAAAGGAAUCUGUAUGUGCAAAAAUGUUUGUGGCAGCCCUUUUUGUAGUGGCUAGAAACUGGAAAUUGAAUGAAUGCCCAUCAAUUGGAGAAUGGUUGGGUAAAUUGUGGUAUAUGAAUGUUAUAGAAUAUUAUUGUUUUUUAAGAAAUGACCAGCAGGAUGAAUAUAGAGAGGCUUGGAGAGACUUACAUGAACUGAUGCUAAGUGAAAUGAACAGAACCAGGAGAUUAUACACUUCGAUAACAAUACUAUAUAAGGAUAUAUUCUGAUGGAAGUGGAUAUCUUCGACAACAAGAAGAUCCAAUUCAGUUCCAAUUGAUCAAUAAUAGACAGAAUCAGCUACACCCAGAGAGAGAACACUGGGAAAUGAAUGUGAACUACUUUCAUUUUUAUUUUUCUUCCCAGGUAAUUUUUAUCUUCUGCAUCCAAUUUUUCUUGUACAAUAAGAGAACUGUACGGAUCUGAACACAUAUAUUGUAUUUAAGAUAUACUUUAACAUGUUUAACAUAUAUGAGAUUGCCUGCCAUCUAGGGGAGGGGGUGGAAGGAGGGAAAGGAAAAGCUGGAACAGAAGUGAGUGCAAGGG